GAAGAGGCUGGUCCAGCAAGCCGUCCCCGCUCCUGCUUCUGCGCUUGCGAGGAAGAAGCUAGCGUCUCCGUGGCGUGGACGGGUAUCAGCCUAAGGAUCUGGAAGGCAAGAAGGGGAGAUUUCUCCCCUAUGCGGCUAGCUGGCCAGGACACGGACAGUCUGCUCGCCCGGGGCUGCAGCAGCUGGGAGACCUGGUGCUUCUGACAAGGCUUGUUCCUGCAGAAGUGCUUGGUCUUCAGAGAAAUUCACAGGGAAGACUCUGACAGGGGCUCUCUGAUAACUUUCAGAUCAUGCCACUGAACUGGGUAAGAAUUUACAGACUCCUAACAGAGAAACUAAUGUCUUCAUGACUUCUAACAAAAGAUCAACAAGAAUCAAUUACAUGAGGCUGAAUUAACUGAUGAGGAUGAUUAUAAUGUUCUUUGCUUGUUUGGAACAUUGUUGAUUUUUAAAAAUGUUUUUUUUCUCCCAGAUUUAAGGAAAAUGUGUUCUCUUCUCUCUCAAGCUAUCUAUGGUUCAGAGCAAUUUGGGGAAAUCUGCCUUUCUGAACAACAAUGAAACAUUUAUCUUUUUCUCUUUCCCAGAUCCCUCCAGAAUUCAGAAACCCUUCAGUGAGUAUUUUUAUUUUUAUGGCAAUGUGGUGAUUUGCAUAAGUUCACUAAGAAUCUGUUCUCCUCGUAACAGGACACAACUGGAAACAUUGGUUAUAUUACCAAGCCUUUGACUGGAAGGUCAUAUUCAAGAGAGAUGUACAAAGGCUCGGGUGUGACCAGACAGCUUGAAGGGACUAAGGUUGACUAAAGAGAGCCAAUAAAACCCCUUGGCACUUUGCUUACAGGGCUCCCGGCAACCUUACCAGCUGUAUCCCAAGUGCCUAUAGUGACCAGCACCCAGGAGGUCCUCAGGAAACAUGUGUUAAUUGAACGUAUGCAUACAUGUCCUUGAAGCUGAGGAAUACUAAGGCUGCCCUGCGGAGGGGCGACUCCAAGUCUGCAGUGCUAGAAGUUUCCAUCCAGGUAACCACCACCCAGAUCAAGAUCGAGGACAUUUAUGGCACUCCAGGAAGACCACUUGAGCCCCUUCCCAACAAAGGCUCCAGAAGAUAACCACUAUGGACAAGUUUCUCUCUUCCUGAACGUCGUGUAAUUGGAAACGUACAGCAUGCGGUUUUCCCUUCUUUCACUCAUCAAUGAGAUUCAUCCGUGUUGUUGUGUGUACUGGUGCAUUCUUUUUCAUCACAGUUUGUUAUUCCAUGUUAGAUUCCAUGUUAGGAAUACGUCAUGAUUUAUUGAUCCAUGAUGAUGUUGAUGGACAUCAUGGCGGUCUCACGUUUGGGGUUUUGACUAGCAAAGCCGCAGUGGACAUCCUUGUACAUACCUGCCUUCUAGUGAACGUAGCGAAGAGUUUAGAGCAGAGGAGUGAAGGAUUAGAUUGACUUUUUUUUUCUUUUGUCCCUGGUGAUGGUUAAUUUCAUGUGCUAAGUUGACUGGGUCAUGGGAUGCCCAAAUAUUUGGUCAAAUGUUGUUCUGGGUGUGUCUGUGAGGGUGUUUUGGAGAGAGUAACAUUCGACUGAGUAAAGCAGAGUGCCCUCCUCGGUAUGCUGGGACUGACCCUAAUGGGGUAAAGGCCUGAAUAGGACAAAAACACUGACCCUUCUGUGAGUAAGGGGGACCUCCUCCUGCCUGACGGCCUUGAGCUGGAUCAUCAGUUCUUGCUUUUUUUUUUUUUUUUAAGAUUUUUAUUUAUUUAUUUGAGAGAGAGAGAGCACAAAACUGGGGGAGGGUCAGAGGGAGAAGCAGACUUCCUGCUGAGCAGGGAGCCUGA